GUUUGUAUUUGUUUAUUUGUUGUACAAGAUGCUUGUAUUUGUUUAUUUGUUGUACAGUAGGUUUGUAUUUGUUUAUUUGUUGUACAAUAGG